AUUUAAGUAGUUUAUAUAAAAUAUUGAUUUGUGGGAUCAAUGAAGUAUAAUUAAUAUACCUUAGAUU
rnacentral:tRNA from 1 species